CAUCCCAACUUGAUGUGUCACUAUCUCUCCAUAUUCCUAGCAUAGCUCUUUCUUUGCUCUUUUGGGGUGAUUUUUGCAGCUAGUGAUAUUUUUUUUCUUUAUUCUCCUUCUUCAUAUCUUUCUCUUUGAGGAACUUUUUGAAUUUUCUUGUUAAAAGUGCCAAGUCCUCAUCAUCUUCACUCUCUUCUUCACGUUCUUUUUCAUCCGACUCAUCGCUUUCUUCAUAUUGUAAAGUGGACUUGAAGAUGAUGGUCUUC
rnacentral:lncRNA from 1 species